rnacentral:rRNA from 1 species
AAAUKCGUAGAUAUCGGAAGGAACACCAGCGGCGAAGGCGGCAUUCUGGCCCUGUCCUGACGCUCAGGGGCGAAAGCGUGGGGAGCGAACCGGAUUAGAUACCCGGGUAGUCCACGCCGUAAACGAUGAGUACUAGGUGUUGGGGGUAUCGACCCCCUCAGUGCCGAAACUAACGCUAUAAGUACUCCGCCUGAGGACUACGGCCGCAAGGCUAAAACUCAAAGGAAUUGACGGGGGCCCGCACAAGCAGCGGAGCGUGUGGUUUAAUUCGAUGGUACGCGAAGAACCUUACCCGGAUUUGACAUGCAUGUAGUACUGAUGUGAAAGCAGAGGGACCUCGGGGAGCAAGCACAGGUGUUGCACGGCCGUCGUCAGCUCGUGCCGUGAGGUGUUGGGUUAAGUCUCGCAACGAGCGCAACCCCUGUCGUCAGUUGUAUUUUUCUGACGAGACUGCCGGGAAACCCCCGGAGGAAGGAGGGGAUGAUGUCAGGUCAGCGUGGCCCUUACGUCCGGGGCUACACACACGCUACAAUGGGUGGUCCAACGGGUCGCGAAACCGCGAGGUGGAGCUAAUCCCAUCAAAGCCAUCCUCAGUUCGGAUUGCAGGCUGAAACUCGCCUGCAUGAAGCCGGAGUUGCUAGUAACCGCAGGUCAGCACUACUGCGGUGAAUACGUUCCCGGGCCU